GCCCGGGUGGCGAAAUUGGCAGACGCACCAGCUUGAGGGGCUGGCGGGGGCAACCCCGUGCAGGUUCAAAUCCUGUCCCGGGCA
rnacentral:tRNA from 1 species